GCGCAGAGCCCCUCCCCCUACAGACAAGCAAAGCAAAGCUGUGGAGCCUGAGCUCUUAGCAUCCCUCAGGCCAGCUGCUUGCUUGGCUUCCUUAACUUUGGGCCGCGAAGGGUGAAGCUGGAGCCUGCGCUGUAGGGUCAACUGGUACCCAGGAGAAUGAAACAGGCCCUCGUGGACGAUACUGAGGAUGUGUCCCUGGACUUCGGCAAUGAAGAGGAGCUGGCUUUUAGGAAGGCCAAGAUCAGGCACCCCUUGGCCACCUUCUUCCACCUGUUCUUCCGCGUGAGUGCCAUCAUCACCUAUGUGUGCUGUGACUGGUUCAGCAGGAGCUUCGUUGGCUGCUUUGUCACUGUGCUUCUCCUACUGUCCUUUGACUUCUGGUCUGUGAAGAAUGUGACUGGAAGACUCAUGGUGGGUCUUCGAUGGUGGAACCAGAUCGAUGAGGACGGAAAAAGCCACUGGGUAUUUGAAGCCAGAAAGGCCUCUCCAAACCACAUGGCGGCCACUGAAGCAGAGGCACGCAUCUUCUGGCUUGGCCUCAUCAUCUGCCCCGUGGUCUGGACCGUGUUCUUCUUCAGCACCUUGUUCUCCUUGAAGCUCAAGUGGCUGGCUCUCGUGAUCGCUGGGAUUUCCCUCCAAGGUGCCAACCUCUACGGCUACAUCCUUUGUAAGAUGGGGGGCGAGGGUGACAUCAGCACAGUUGCAGCCAGCUUUCUGUCUCAGACAGUGUUCCAGAUGGCUUCCCCAGGUGACUUUGAGCAGCCCAGGCUUGAAGGACUGGACAUCCACCAGCGUUAGGCUGCUGUGGCUGGUGAAUCUGGGGCUUCAAUGAAAAAAGACUGGCCUUUGUCACAGCUCUUACCUUAAAGAGACAGAGAAAAGGAGACCCUUGUGAAAGCCUCACUCUUUAUGCUGGCUGUGGCAUGGCUGCCUGGGGAACACAACAGAGGCCUCAGCUUGUCCCCACCCCCAGAAACCCUGCUUCUCUUUGUUGCUGCAUGUGGCAAAGGCAGAUUCCAGGCCUGAAGAACUGUCUCUGCUGCUCUGGGUGGGCCAUCGUCUGCAUUGGAGAUCCACUAACUAGCAGUCCAGGAAAAUGAGAAUACAGGGAAGGGAAUGAGGGCUUUCAAUAGAGACAGCGAGUGUGUAGGAAAUGCUGGCAGUGUGGAUAGAGUAUCUCUCUAGAAACAUGUUACCUCAAGGACUAAGAAGGAAAUGCUGGCAGUGUGGACAGAGUAUCCCUCCAGAGACACACAUUACCGGGACAGGCCCUGCAGUGCACACACCUGCCCUCUGCUCUCUCCCCAUCUCAUCUCAUCUUUAUGGUCAGCCACACUGGGGUGCAUCAGUCGGCUGGUCCUUCCCAUGUAUAUGCAGGCAGGCAUGUGCGCAUGCACACACACACCAUCCCAGGACCAUAUGUAACCCAAGGGAGACACGGCUCUCUGGCUGUGAACCUCCCUUGUGCCCAGGUUCCCAUGUUGCUACCUGGCAUACACCAGGCCCUGCUCAAACAUCCCAGUCCCAUCUUCCCUGACAGGAAAGACAGCUCCCAAACUUGGGUGCACAGCCACCUGCAGCUGAGCCCAAUAUGGUCCGGCUCCUUCCUCUCAGACUCAGGCACCCCGCACUGCUCCACUGACAGGACACUCUAGUUUCCAGAUGUUGCAAAACAGUGGUUUAUUUUGGAUGUGAAACUCAGGCAGACGAGGGCUUGAUGGAGACCCCUCCCUUCCUGACACAGCAGAGAAAGCAGAAACCUAGAGACCACCUCUGCUGUUU